rnacentral:rRNA from 1 species
UUCGCCCUUAGAGUUUGAUCCUGGCUCAGGAUGAACGCUGGCGGCGUGCCUAACACAUGCAAGUCGAGCGAAGCACUUUACUUGGAUUUCUUCGGAAUGACGAGUGAUUUGACUGAGCGGCGGACGGGUGAGUAACGCGUGGGUAACCUGCCUCACACAGGGGGAUAACAGUUAGAAAUGACUGCUAAUACCGCAUAAGACCCCAGCACCGCAUGGUGCAGUGGUAAAAACUCCGGUGGUGUGAGAUGGACCCGCGUCUGAUUAGGUAGUUGGUGAGGUAACGGCUCACCAAGCCGACGAUCAGUAGCCGGCCUGAGAGGGUGGACGGCCACAUUGGGACUGAGACACGGCCCAAACUCCUACGGGAGGCAGCAGUGGGGAAUAUUGCACAAUGGGGGAAACCCUGAUGCAGCGACGCCGCGUGGAGGAAGAAGGUCUUCGGAUUGUAAACUCCUGUUGUUGAGGAAGAUAAUGACGGUACUCAACAAGGAAGUGACGGCUAACUACGUGCCAGCAGCCGCGGUAAAACGUAGGUCACAAGCGUUGUCCGGAAUUACUGGGUGUAAAGGGAGCGCAGGCGGGAAGACAAGUUGGAAGUGAAAUCUAUGGGCUCAACCCAUAAACUGCUUUCAAAACUGUUUUUCUUGAGUAGUGCAGAGGUAGGCGGAAUUCCCGGUGUAGCGGUGGAAUGCGUAGAUAUCGGGAGGAACACCAGUGGCGAAGGCGGCCUACUGGGCACCAACUGACGCUGAGGCUCGAAAGUGUGGGUAGCAAACAGGAUUAGAUACCCUGGUAGUCCACACCGUAAACGAUGAUUACUAGGUGUUGGAGGAUUGACCCCUUCAGUGCCGCAGUUAACACAAUAAGUAAUCCACCUGGGGAGUACGACCGCAAGGUUGAAACUCAAAGGAAUUGACGGGGGCCCGCACAAGCAGUGGAGUAUGUGGUUUAAUUCGAAGCAACGCGAAGAACCUUACCAGGUCUUGACAUCCGAUGCAUAGUGCGGAGAUGCAUGAAGUCCUUCGGGACAUCGAGACAGGUGGUGCAUGGUUGUCGUCAGCUCGUGUCGUGAGAUGUUGGGUUAAGUCCCGCAACGAGCGCAACCCUUAUUGCCAGUUACUACGAAAGAGGACUCUGGCGAGACUGCCGUUGACAAAACGGAGGAAGGUGGGGAUGACGUCAAAUCAUCAUGCCCUUUAUGACCUGGGCUACACACGUACUACAAUGGCGUUUAACAAAGAGAAGCAAGACCGCGAGGUGGAGCAAAACUCAAAAACAACGUCUCAGUUCAGAUUGCAGGCUGCAACUCGCCUGCAUGAAGUCGGAAUCGCUAGUAAUCGCGGAUCAGCAUGCCGCGGUGAAUACGUUCCCGGGCCUUGCACACACCGCCCGUCA